ensembl:lncRNA
GGAGGGGGGGUGGGCAGCAGGGGGUGGCUAUUUUAACGGCUGUUUGUUUACAGGGGCUUGAGUUGGAUUGGAUUACCUGUGCCUUGCCAAUGAUCCCAAACAUGCAGACUACGCAAUCACCCCACCCCCCCCAACCUCACCCUCAGGGACUAAUCAUCUCUCUAUCGGUCAGGUUCUAACAUGAAUCUAACAUGAGUACGUGUACGUGUGUGUGUGUGUGUGUGUGUGUAAGCUCCUAGCCAGCGACAUCAAUUUAGGCUGAUCAACACAUACUGGGAGAGGGGAAAAGGCAGAUAGGGAACUGUCACUCAAUGUUGAUAGACAUUUCAGAUGUCUCCCAGCACCCAGCAACACAACUUGCAUCUCGUUAAAUUGAAGAAACGAAAAGGAAUAUAGACGGAAAAUCAUCGAUCUAUGACUCCAUCUAUGGUGUUGAGAAGCAACCACGGAGAUGCCGCUUCGCUUCGUGUGUCCCUGGAGUCCAAGGGGAUGUAGCUGAUAGCCUCUGCAGUUAAACAAAGCUCUGCACAGAGCGUGAAGAAAACAACAAUACGCUAAAAACAAGGUCUCUGUUUGUCAGUGUGUAUAAUGUGACAUGCUCACGUUUCCCCCAACCAAUCAGGAAAGUGAGGACCUGAAAUCGAGAGCUGUGCAUACUGAAACUGCAUGCUCAAGCUGUAGGUUUUUUUUUUAGCUGUUCACACCUAAACAUAAACAAUCUAAGACCUGGAACUACUGUGAAGAUAAAACGGUAACCAAAACCACACACACAAAAACUACAUUUAGGACAGACCUCCUAGAACAUUCCUAGCUAGUGCAAGAGUUACAGGUGCAGCUCAGACAAAACAAACAAGCCUAGCCGGGGUUAGCCACGGCUGUUGGCUUUGGCAACACUGGAAAAGGGGGUUGCGUGUUUUGAGUUUGUUUGUUUGUUUCUGUGUGUGUGCGUGUGUGCAGACAGACAACUGCAAAAGGCAGCAUGGCUCAGUUUACCCAAAUUAGAGGCAAUAUGGAUUACACUCACCAGGGGUGUCAGAACUGCAUCGGCAACUGCACAGGAGCUAUCAGGUUUUACUUAUGUACUUUCCAGGGGCUUGUCUAAGGCAGUAGGAUGGACAAAUAUACAGAGAGAGCGAGAGAGAGAGGUUGAUCUACGGCACAGGAGAGCAGGGUCACUGGCAUAUAGUAAACCAGCCAUUUUGUAGUGCUGUUCGAAUUCUCAACUGUAAACUUUAUUCACUAUACAGUGCAUUUUAAACUUCCCACGUGCGCCCCAAGAUGUAGUGUACAGACAAUAUACACUACCAUUUCUCCAGUAUAAUUAAUUCAUUGCAAGAAAACAAUCUGAAUAGGUGAUGAAACAAAAGCCAAAUUAAACUUGGAAGAUAUAGGCUGCACUUUAGUUAAGAAGUUUAGUAUUUGUUGCCUUUGCCAAGUUAGUGUUACCAUGUUGCUAAGUUACCAACAUGGAAUGUUUUGGAAUGUACUGUUCCUACAUAGUAUAUAUAUAUAUAUAUAUAUAUAUAGUGAGGGAGUGGACAUUCUGAACACAGCCUCAGUCCCUCGCUCUCCCUCUCUAAUGGCUAUUUGGGUCACCCUCCUCUCGUCUCCCACACAUGUGACUGGCUGGAAAGCGAACCCUGGCUGCCUGUUUAUCUAUUUAUUUGGCAUUAUUGAUUAAUCACGCUCAGCUGAGGCCUACCGCCGCGCUGGGCUCCCGCUGGCACGCUCUGUGUGGUAUUUGACUUCGGCCAAAGUGAAUUACAGCCACAGAGUUCAGUGCCCCUUCACCAGACCUGUGUGCACCGAUCAGAUCUGAGCGAUGGCAAAACACAUGCAUGGUGGCAGGGCUGCUUGAGGAUUGUUUUGAUUUGUGAAGCUCUGUAUAGUAGGCUAGUCGAUGCUAGAGUCAUGUUUGAGAAAUCCAUCCAUCGCUCACAAAAACUACUUUUUGACAUUGCUACUCAUUACCAUAUUUCUAUUCCGUCUCCCCCAAACGUCUACAAAACGUGCGAUUUGCAUUUAAAACAAUGGCAUAAAUAUGUGCAAGUUGGAGGCUGGAUCUCUAAUGGGUCACCUUGUUUUCAGCCAAUGAAAAAAAAAAAAAAAAAAAUCUUCCACCAUUCACCAUUUAUACCUGUGGCAUUAACACAAAAACUCUUGAGUACUCUGCAAGACCCUUAUGCUCUGCAUCACGCAGUAGCAGAGCGGGGGCCAGAAUCCUGUCUGGUCAUGAUGGAAACUCACCCGAUCGUCUGAUCCCUGCACUGUCCUACAAAGGCAAGACCUCUUAUAUCACUUGGGCCAGGCAAGGAUGAUCUAAUAAUAGCUGCUGUGAUAAGGGUCGGAUCAGCACUGGGCCAUGCAGAGAGAGAGAGACAGAGACAGAGACAGAGACAGAGACAGAGACAGAGACAGAGACAGAGACAGAGAGAGAGAGAGACAGAGAGAGAGACAGAGAGAGAGACAGAGAGAGAGACAGAGAGAGAGAGAGAGAGAGAGAGAGAGAGAAACAACCUGAGUAACUGUCUUAUUCUUGAGCCCCUCAAGCAGUGGUGGCCUGCUCUGACCUUGUCUCGCCACUAGAUUUCUGGAGUCUACUCUGGCUUCCUUCACUCUCCUUCCCUCCGGCACACAAAGACCACUUUGUUUUAGCCUACUUUUCCCCCUACACCGUGUAGGCUAGGUUGUGACAUUCUUUCACUAU